rnacentral:rRNA from 1 species
GCUAACCCGUAAGGGAGGCAGCGACCUAAGGUAGGGUCAGCGAUUGGGGUGAAGUCGUAACAAGGUAGCCGUAGGAGAACCUGCGGCUGGAUCACCUCCUUUCUAUGGAGA